CAGGCGGGUUUUAGCCCCGUCCUUAUCAA
rnacentral:tRNA from 1 species